AGAGUUGUUUUCUCAAUCGGGUCC
rnacentral:siRNA from 1 species